rnacentral:rRNA from 1 species
CCUACGGGUGGCUGCAGUCGAGAAUCAUUCACAAUGGGGGAAACCCUGAUGGUGCGACGCCGCGUGGGGGAAUGAAGGUCUUCGGAUUGUAAACCCCUGUCAUGUGGGAGCAAAUUAAAAAGAUAGUACCACAAGAGGAAGAGACGGCUAACUCUGUGCCAGCAGCCGCGGUAAUACAGAGGUCUCAAGCGUUGUUCGGAAUCACUGGGCGUAAAGCGUGCGUAGGCUGUUUCGUAAGUCGUGUGUGAAAGGCGCGGGCUCAACCCACGGACGGCACAUGAUACUGCGAGACUAGAGUAAGGGAGGGGGAACCGGAAUUCUCGGUGUAGCAGUGAAAUGCGUAGAUAUCGAGAGGAACACUCGUGGCGAAGGCGGGUUCCUGGACAUUAACUGACGCUGAGGCACGAAGGCCAGGGGAGCGAAAGGGAUUAGAUACCCCUGUAGUC